rnacentral:rRNA from 1 species
CCAAUCGAACUCGGAGAUAGCUGGUUCUCCUCGAAAUAGCUUUAGGGCUAGCCUCGUAUAUGUCUAGCGGAGGUAGAGCACUGAAUAGUCUAGGGACCUACACAGGUUACCGAAACUUAUCAAACUCCGAAUGCCGCAUAGAUUUAGUACGGGAGUCAGACAGCGACAGAUAAGUGCCGUUGUCAAAAGGGAAACAGCCCAGAUCGCCAGCUAAGGUCCCAAAAUUAUGGUUAAGUGGUAAAGGAUGUGGAUUUGCUAAGACAGCUAGGAUGUUGGCUUAGAAGCAGCCACUCAUUUAAAGAGUGCGUAACAGCUCACUAGUCGAGUGAGUCUGCGCCGAAAAUCAACGGGGCUAAAACCAUAUACCGAAGCUGCGGAUUCAGAAAUGAAUGGUAGAGGAGCUUACUGUAGGCAGUUGAAGCACGAUCGUAAGGACGUGUGGAUGUAUCAGUAGUGAGAAUGUCGGAAUAAGUAACGAGAGAGAAGUGAGAAUCUUCUCCGUCGAAAAUCCAAGGUUUCCUGGGGAAGGGUCGUCCUCCCAGGGUUAGUCGGGACCUAAGGCGAGGCUGACAAGCGUAGCCGAUGGACAACAGGUUGAUAUUCCUGUACCGCCGUUGCUCGUUUUAAGAGAAGCAAGGACGCAGUAGGAUAGUCGAUGCACACUGCAGGAUAUGUGUGUUCAAGCGAUGAGGAUAGAGAAGUAGUUAAGUACGCUUCUUGUUUCUGGGUCGUGAUGAGGAGGGAAAACAAGUACCGAAGUCGAUGAUUUCACACUGACGAGAAAAGUUGCUAUCAAGAGUAAAGGUGCCCGUACCGCAAACCGACACAGGUGGAUGAGGAGAGAAUCCUAAGACGAGCGGGAGAAGCGUUGUUAAGGAACUCGGCAAAUUAACCCCGUAAGUUCGCAAUAAGGGGAGCCUCGGUAGUGAUACCAGGUCGCAGAGAAUUGGCCCAAGCAACUGUUUACCAAAAACACAGGUCUCCGCUAAAUCGUAAGAUGAGGUAUGGGGGCUGACGCCUGCCCGGUGCUGGAAGGUCACGGGAAUCUGUUAGAGCAAUCGAAGCAGUGAACUUAAGCCCCAGUAAACGGCGGCCGUAACUAUAACGGUCCUAAGGUAGCGAAAUUCCUUGUCAGGUAAGUUCUGACCCGCACGAAUGGCGUAAUGAUUUGGGCACUGUCUCGACAACGUACCCGGUGAAAUUGUAGUACUUGUGAAGAUGCAAGUUACCCGCGACUAGACGAAAAGACCCCAUGGAGCUUCACUGUAGAUUGUUACUGGGAUUCGAUAUUGUCUGUACAGGAUAGGUGGGAGACGAAGAACGCAUGGCGUCAGUUGUGCGGGAGUCGACGUUGGGAUACCACUCUGACAGUAUUGGGUCUCUAACCGGGAGCCGUAAGCCGGCUUCGGGACAAUGGCAGUCGGACAGUUUGACUGGGGCGGUCGCCUCCAAAAAAGUAACGGAGGCGUCCAAAGGUCACCUCAGUACGGUUGGAAACCGUGCGUCGAGUGCAAAGGCAUAAGGUGGCUUAACUGCGAGACAGACAGGUCGAGCAGGUACGAAAGUAGGGCUUAGUGAUCCGGCGGUAGAAUGUGGAAUUGCCGUCGCUCAACGGAUAAAAGUUACCCUGGGGAUAACAGGCUGAUCUCCCCCAAGAG